UACGUAGGGUGCGAGCGUUGUCCGGAAUUACUGGGCGUAAAGCGUGCGCAGGCGGUUCCGCAAGUCAGAUGUGAAAUCCCCGGGCUUAACCUGGGAAUGGCGUUUGGGACUGGAAGUCUGGAGUGCGGCAGAGGAGACUGGAAUUCCUGGUGUAGCAGUGAAAUGCGUAGAUAUCAGGAGGAACACCGAUGGCGAAGGCAGGUCUCCGGGCUGACACUGACGCUCAUGCACGAAAGCGUGGGGAGCAAACAGG
rnacentral:rRNA from 1 species